rnacentral:lncRNA from 1 species
AUGUCGUGGUUUGACACGGAAAGAUAAUUUUUCCCGGAAGGAAGAGGUCAAUUUAGAUAUUGACCAAUUGAAAGUAGAUACGCCUCUGAGAACACAGAGAGGUUGAAAGCAGAAUUCCCAGGAGAACUCGCUCUCUUUGGUUCCGGUCAGCGUGCAGUGCAAACCUCCCCUGCCCAGCAACCAGCUGGGUGGGGGAGGGGAAGCCCAUGGCCUGAGAAAGAGUUCCUCUCCCGAGAGGGAGAGAGAAAGCCGCAAGGAAGGAGGAGCGGGGGGAGCUGCUGCAAGGUGCCCAGUUGUGUGGGAGUUGCUGGAUGUCCGGGCAUCGAGCCAUCCUGGGAGUUCGGACUUUUAACCCUUUCUUGAGGAAAUGAAAGCUUUGUGAAUUUUCCUUUCCCCUCCUCGGUUUGAAAGAGAGGAAGAGGGACACCUUAGACCCUGGGAUGGGAUGUUGGAAAGAAGAAUUCUGAAUGGGAGGGGGACAAAGAGUGGCUUUUGGCUGGACUUUUCCAUGUUAGCCACAACCUGAACCAAAUCUUCUCCUUCAAGAGGGACUGUGUUUUGGGAGGAUGCCAGUGAGUCAAGAGACCUGCUUCAGCUGAGAAAAAGACAAAAGUGGAGUAAACAGAGGAAAGGUUAGGGGGUUUGUGGUGGCGCCCCCUUGCCCUGGAAAGGAAAAGAGAAGAAAAGAGAAGAAGAUCUCUGUUCUUGAGCCCUCGACCCCAGGGGAAAAUGGGGGGGGACUGUGGUCCCAAACAAUGAAAAACUGAACUGUUGUUUUCUCCCCUCUUGCCAGGGCAUCCUUGAAAGGAAAAAUCCUAAAGGCAGUGACCAUCCAUGCAUUGGUAGUGAGAGCAGUGUGCAUGGAAAGGAGAAGGGUCACCAUGGCAAACUUUUUCUCCGGGCGGUGCCAUGUGUGACAUGGAAACACAGGAUGUAGAGCUGUGUUUCUUGGGGGGUCUGUGGCACAGGAGAGACUCUGUUCCCUCGAUGGACUGAGUAUCAAUUGUUUGGAGGGUGGAAACCUGAUUGGGGUCCAGAUUGUGUCUCACUGUGGUUUGUUAGAGUUAGGUGGUGGGGGGGGAGGAAUGUUUUGCAAGGUUUUCAUUUAGAUCUUUGUGUGUUUUCUUUUCCCUUCUUUAAUUUUCUCUUUUCUUUUGUAGUAGUAGUUUAAUAAAGUUUUUUUCCUGUUAUCA